CAGCCGCCGCGGGAAUACGGAGGGUGCAAGCGUUAAUCGGAAUUACUGGGCGUAAAGCGCACGCAGGCGGUUUGUUAAGUCAGAUGUGAAAUCCCCGAGCUUAACUUGGGAACUGCAUUUGAAACUGGCAAGCUAGAGUCUUGUAGAGGGGGGUAGAAUUCCAGGUGUAGCGGUGAAAUGCGUAGAGACCUGGAGGAAUACCGGUGGCGAAGGCGGCCCCCUGGACAAAGACUGACGCUCAGGUGCGAAAGCGUGGGGAGCAAACAGGAUUAGAUACCCCUGUAGUCCCUGUCUCUUAUAC
rnacentral:rRNA from 1 species